rnacentral:lncRNA from 1 species
AAAAAGAGAUUUCCUACGUCUCGAGCAGAAAAUUGCAAGCCUUUUUCUGAGAAGCAUAUGGUGAGAGUAAACAAUACAUUUUUGUCAGAGCAAUGUGGUGAAGUACACAGGUAAGCAUGUUUCCUCUCAAACAGCCAUCUGUCCCAGCAUAGUCUUUUCCCCCUACUUGUCAUUAGCAUUUCUUUUAUUUCGUUUUUAACAUGAGCAAGGCAGUAAGAAAAGAACAAUAACACAUCCACAAUAGCACACAAAGUGACUUCCGUGUUAUGUUAUAGACCAAAUCUCUCUUGACCUUUUUGUUUCUUCUGCAUUUGGAAGACAAAGAGAGAAAGGAGAGGGAAAUAUGUUUUUUUCAUAUACAAAAGGCAUUUAUUCUCAUUUAAUUUGUAAGCACUUCUGCGGUGCUUGCUUAUUGUCCUUGUCACACUAUGCAUAAAUACUUUUUUAGGCAAGUUACAGUCUUUUUCCUGUCCUAAACAUACUGGUUUUCGAAAAGCAACAGCUGAAGAAGCCAGAGUUCUCUCAUUUCCUCUUUAGCUCAUCAUUACUCCUCUCUAUUCAAUGCCACUCUUUCACGUUCCUCCACCCCACCCCUUACAUUCACACAGGCCUAUUUAGGGCUGCCUGUGAGCACACAAAGCAUAGCGCUUUUUAAUCAGUGGGAUCCUAGAACAUGUACUAAAUCGAGCCCAACCUUCAGUGACGUCCUGAACGGUGCAGAGCAGGAGCUCUCCUGAGCCAAAUAUUAAAAAUUAAUCAAUACGGUAACAUGGCUUUAUUAUUUGUGAAGGAGCGUAGGACCAACAGGCACCCUGAACAGACUCCUGGGCACAACAUCCCGCUCUAAAUUCUAACAGAAAAAACCCAAAGAGUAAACAGAGGAGGAAACACAGAGGUCGGGAGGUGCGCGCUAGUACGCUGUACUCAGCACUACAUCCAUAGUUAAGAGAGGCCACCAUUUUGCUGAGGCUGCAGAAGCGCUGUUUACCCCGAGAACCACUGGGAAACGCUUUACUUAGAGAUCACGUCAAGAAUGGGAGAGUCACGAAGCAUUUGCAAGGCCCAAAGACAUUGGGGAAGCGAAGACAAGAACAGAACUGGACUGCGAAGGAAUUCAGCCGCAGCAUGGGGAAGCGACUUGGGGAAGUGACAGUGUUGUCCGCUUUUCUGCCAGGAAGGCAGGGGAGGAGACUGCUCUGUGCAACCUGAACAGAACUGGAUGGGAUUGCAAUUACUC